GGGGGGGGGGGGGGGGGGGGGGGGGGCGGGGGGGGCGGGCGGGGGGGGGAGGGCUGGGUCUUCUGGGUGAGUGGGGAGCGGGUGAGUAACGCGUGGGUAGCCUGCCCCAGGCUCUGGGAUAAGCGCUGUCAACGGCGUCUACUCCCGGAUCCGAUACAGAGCGGCAUGGCUACUGUCGGGACAGUUUUUCGGUGUGGGAUUGACUCGCGGCCUAUCAGCUUGUUGUUGAGGUAGCGGCUCACCAAGGCAACGACGGGUAGCCGGCCUGAGAGGUCGACCGGCCACACUGGGACUGAGACACGGCCCAGAGUCCUACGGGAGGCAGCAGUGGGGAAGAUUGCACAAUGGGCGAAAGCCUGAUGCAGCGACGCCGCGUGAGGGAUGACGGCCUUCGGGUUGUAAACCUCUUUCAGCAGGGAAGAAGCGAAAGUGACGGUACCUGCAGAAGAAGCACCGGCUAACUACGUG
rnacentral:rRNA from 1 species